CAGAGAAUAGUUUAAUUAAAAUAUUAAUUUUGGAGAUUAAUGAAGGAGGUAUUCUCUUUCUCUGA
rnacentral:tRNA from 1 species